GAUGCGACCUCAGCUCAGGCGGGGCCACCCGCUGAGUUUAAGCAUAUCAAUAAGCGAGGAAAAGA
rnacentral:rRNA from 1 species